UUCGGGACAAAAUACCGCAGCGCUCACGCUUCGCCCGCCACUGCCGCCUAGAAUGAGGAGGAGGAGGAGGAAGGAAAGAUUUUCUAAAACGAGGAAGCUGAUUCGCAGAUUGAGGGCAGAUCUGGGCAAACGAUCUACGGAUCUUUAUGACCCACUUUGUCAACAUGGAUUGGGAAAGGAAAAACUAAUCCUAGAGGUAGUAAAAGUUGAUGCCUAAAUGUAGACAGUGCAAAUGCAGGGAACAUUUGGAGAUUUUAAAACCUUACAGCGUUUACCCCAGAAAACUGCUUACUUUACCCUCUUCAAUUUAAUCCCCAAUCUCCCAAGCAGUUUUUUUGUUUUGUUUUUUGCUUUUGUUUGUUAAGCAGGAAGGAAACCAAAGGACAAAAACCCCUAGACUGUGUAAUGCCCAGCAACCUAUUUCUGGAAUAUAGUAAGCACUCAACUAAUGUUAGACACACGCAGAAAACACACAAUUUUAUGCGCUUGUUUAUUUAUUUGUUUUUGCUUUAAACGGUAUCUAUUCAAACCCAAAACCUUAGUGGCUAUUAAAAUAUUUUUUAAAUCGGAAUACUAUAAUACUUGAUGCCCUGCUAACAAAGACUAACAAAGAUAGUGCGUUAUGUUUCAGAGGUCAUUAGUUUGUGGUACUAAAUUCUUAACAUGAAUUGUUUUGUCAUAGUUGUAUCAUAAUAAUUCAAACUGAUAAUGUAUCUGAUGUUAAGUUUUUAUUGUCAUUGUCAUAAUUUUUACCAAAAAAAUAAAAAAUAGCCUCUGGCAAGCAUA